rnacentral:rRNA from 1 species
UACGUAGGGCGCGAGCGUUGUCCGGAAUUAUUGGGCGUAAAGAGCUCGUAGGCGGUUCGUCGCGUCGGCUGUGAAAACCCGGAGCUCAACUCCGGGCCUGCAGUCGAUACGGGCGGACUUGAGUGUUGCAGGGGAGACUGGAAUUCCUGGUGUAGCGGUGAAAUGCGUAGAUAUCAGGAGGGAUACCGGUGGCGAAAGCGACUCUCUGGACGGCAACUGACGCUGAGGCACGAAAGCGUGGGGAGCAAACAGG